ACAGAAUGACUCUCGGCAACGGAUAUCUAGGCUCUUGCAUCGAUGAAGAACGUAGCGAAAUGCGAUACUUGGUGUGAAUUGCAGAAUCCCGUGAACCAUCGAGUCUUUGAACGCAAGUUGCGCCCUAAGCCAUCAGGUUGAGGGCACGUCUGCCUGGGCGUCACAU
rnacentral:rRNA from 1 species